GUUGUUGGGUAGGGGAGCGUUCUGUAAGCCGUCGAAGGUGGCCUGUGAGGGCUGCUGGAGGUAUCAGAAGUGCGAAUGCUGACAUAAGUAACGAUAAAGCGGGUGAAAAACCCGCUCGCCGGAAGACCAAGGGUUCCUGUCCAACGUUAAUCGGGGCAGGGUGAGUCGACCCCUAAGGCGAGGCCGAAAGGCGUAGUCGAUGGGAAACAGGUUAAUAUUCCUGUACUCGGUGUUACUGCGAAGGGGGGACGGAGAAGGCUAUGUUGGCCGGGCGACGGUUGUCCCGGUUUAAGCAUGUAGGCGGAGGUUCCAGGUAAAUCCGGAA
rnacentral:rRNA from 1 species